AAGCUACUCCCUCCGUUCCGAAUUACUUGUCGCAGGUAUUGAUGUAUCCAGAUGUAUUUUAGUUUUAGAUACAUUCAUUUCUACAACGAGUAAUUUGGAACGAAGGAAGUAGUAA
rnacentral:pre_miRNA from 1 species